rnacentral:piRNA from 1 species
UAAGUAUGAGCUUUCGACCCUAGUGCC